rnacentral:rRNA from 1 species
UGGGGAAUAUUGGACAAUGGGCGAAAGCCUGAUCCAGCCAUGCCGCGUGUGUGAAGAAGGUCUUCGGAUUGUAAAGCACUUUAAGUUGGGAGGAAGGGCAGUAAGCGAAUACCUUGCUGUUUUGACGUUACCGACAGAAUAAGCACCGGCUAACUCUGUGCCAGCAGCCGCGGUAAUACAGAGGGUGCAAGCGUUAUUCGGAAUUACUGGGCGUAAAGCGCGCGUAGGUGGUUCGUUAAGUUGAAUGUGAAAGCCCCGGGCUCAACCUGGGAACUGCAUCCAAAACUGGCGAGCUAGAGUAGGGCAGAGGGUGGUGGAAUUUCCUGUGUAGCGGUGAAAUGCGUAGAUAUAGGAAGGAACACCAGUGGCGAAGGCGACCACCUGGGCUCAUACUGACACUGAGGUGCGAAAGCGUGGGGAGCAAACAGG